AUCCCUUCAGGGAGGGAAAGGUGUCUUUGUCCAACUUAACUAUAGGCUUCCCUCCCUAUCCCUAGUCCGAUUAUUUAUAAUUUGCUUUGGGUUGAUCUUUGAGGGCAGAUCUUCUUUCUUCAUGGUGAGAAAUUCUUGUAAAGGUUUGAUUUUUAUAAGAGUCGAUAAUGGAGUUCUGUUUUGGGUGGCUAUUUUAUGGGUUCGAUUUUUUUGCUUUGCUUGGUGGGAGGGACUUCAUUGCUACAACAGUGGUAUCUCUGGAGACUUGAAGUUCCUUCUUCUUUGAUAGAGCUGUCCCUCAAGGCUACAUGAGAUUUAAUGGCUGUGAGCUUCUAUGGUGAUUUUCGUUUCCCACUGAGGACAGGUAUCUCGGGGAUGCUACGGUGGCGUUUUUGUGUCCUCUAGAUCCCUUCCAGACAAGCAUAUUGCGUUGAGGCUGGAGUUCUUCCCCCUCUGUCUUGUUGCUUCCAAGACAGACGCUUCUGGAUGCUACUGUGUUCUAAUUGGUUGUUCCUUUGUCCCUGAUUCCUAGGUUACUGUUCUUGAGGACCUUUCUAAAGCCCAUCACAGCCAUGUUAGGUCCCCAGCUAUGCUUUAGAUGAACGGGUCUUCACCUGAUUUUAGCUUGGCUUGACGAUUUGUGCAAAACAGAGCUCUCCCUCCAAGUUUGAGAAUAGUUGUAUAGAUUUGGAUUUUAUGUUAGGCUGGUUGAAUCCUUGUAUUGCUAGAGCUAAGUUUUAGGCAAUGGGCCAUUCAUGGACUGGGCUUUUUUGUAAGUAAUGAAAGUGUUCAGAGAAAAAAAAAUUGCCAUGUAAGUUUAAAAAAUAAGAAAAAACAAUAUAUAUUAAGUUUAUUCCUAAAAUCACAUUUCAAAUAUUUAAAAUUUAGAUAUGAUCUGUGUAUGAGAAAGCUAGCUUCUUUACAUGAAAUAAAAUGGCGAAAAUUUGCUGCUUUUA